rnacentral:misc_RNA from 1 species
AAAAAAAAAAAAAAGGAGUUAUACUCCAACUUUCCCAAAGUUCCAAAGAAAGAACCAAAACUUAAAGUCUACAAGGAACGUUUCCGCUGCUAAAAAAGCACUGCUUUUUCAGUAAAUAAUCAGCGUUGCAAGAAUUUUUUUAAAAAAAAUUGCAAAUAGAGAUAGAAACUCAAGAAAUCUCAUUUCUAACAAUUAGCUUAAUAUCUUCUCGGGAACCAAACAGGGAAA